UACAGAGGUCUCAAGCGUUGUUCGGAUUCAUUGGGCGUAAAGGGUGCGUAGGUGGCGGGGUAAGUCAGGUGUGAAAUUUCGGAGCUUAACUCCGAAACUGCAUUUGAUACUGCCUUGCUUGAGGACUGGAGAGGAGACUGGAAUUUACGGUGUAGCAGUGAAAUGCGUAGAGAUCGUAAGGAAGACCAGUGGCGAAGGCGGGUCUCUGGACAGUUCCUGACACUGAGGCACGAAGGCCAGGGGAGCAAACGGG
rnacentral:rRNA from 1 species